UACGGAGGGUGCAAGCGUUAUCCGGAUUCACUGGGUUUAAAGGGUGCGUAGGCGGAAUAGUAAGUCAGUGGUGAAAUCCUGUCGCUUAACGACAGAACUGCCAUUGAUACUGCUAAUCUUGAGUACAUUUGAAGUGGGCGGAAUGUGUAGUGUAGUGGUGAAAUACUUAGAUAUUACACAGAACACCGAUUGCGAAGGCAGCUCACUAAACUGUAACUGACGCUGAGGCACGAAAGCGUGGGGAUCAAACAGG
rnacentral:rRNA from 1 species